rnacentral:rRNA from 1 species
UACGGGGGGGGCAAGCGUUGUUCGGAAUUACUGGGCGUAAAGGGCUCGUAGGCGGCCAACUAAGUCAUACGUGAAAUCCCUCGGCUUAACUGGGGAACUGCGUCUGAUACUGGAUGGCUUGAGUUUGGGAGAGGGAUGCGGAAUUCCAGGUGUAGCGGUGAAAUGCGUAGAUAUCGUAAGGAAGACCAGUGGCGAAGGCGGGUCUCUGGACAGUUCCUGACGCUGAGGCACGAAGGCCAGGGGAGCAAACGGG